CCUGUUCGCCCAAGUUAGUGAUAGGGGCCUGCGGAAACAUGAAGAGGAUAAAUAGCUGUGUGAAGAAUGAAGAGCAUGUCCUGGAGGAGUUGGAAACAGAAGGUGAGAGGCAGCUGAAGAGCCUCCUUCAACAUCAACUUGAUACUUCUGUCUCCAUUCAAGAAUGUGUCUCUAAGAAAGAGAGCUUUGCCCCGGGUACCAUGUACAAGCCCUUUGGGAAGGAAGUAGCUGGGACAAUGACUUUAUCCCAGUUCCAGACACUACAUGAAAAAGACCAGGAAACUGCUUCUCUCAGGGAACUAGGGCUCAAUGAAACAGAAAUACUGAUCUGGAAAAGCCAUGUUUCAGGUGAAAAGAGGACAAAGCUGAGGGCCACCCCUGAAGCAAUACAGAAACGGCUUCAAGAUAUUGAAGAAAGGAUCUCAGAGCGCCAGCGCAUCCUUUGCCUGCCACAGAGGUUUUCAAAGAGCAAACAACUGACCAGGCGAGAAAUGGAAAUUGAAAAGUCUUUAUUUCAGGGAACUGAUCGUCACUCCUUUCUUAAGGCUCUUUAUUACCAAGCAUACCACAAAAAGACAAGUGCAGACAAGUACAUGACCUCAAUGAAGAGGAAGAUAAAAUUAGGCACAAAAGAUGAACCCCCAAAGAAGAACAAAGGUGAUCCCAUGAACAACCUGGAAAGUUUUUACCACGAGACUAUAAUGAAAAAGCGUCUUGAAGAGUUCCAACUUAUGAGAGGUGAACCCUUUGCUUCCCACUCACUGGUCUCAGCUACGUCAGUGGGUGAUAGUGGCACAGCUGAGAACCCAUCACUCCUCCAGGACAAGGGAAAGCAGGCAGCACAGGGUAAAGGCCCCAGUCUCCAUGUGGCAAAAGUUAUUGAUUUUCCACCUGAGCAGUGUUGGAUUGGGCCUAAGAAGCUGACGCAACCAAUAGAAUUUAUCCCUGAAGAUGAGAUCCAGAGAAACCGUUUAUCAGAGGAGGAGAUCCGAAACAUCCCUAUGUUUUCUUCAUAUAACCCAGGGGAACCAAACAAGGUGCUAUACCUGAAGAACCUUAGUCCUCGGGUGAAAGAAAGGGACCUUAUCUCAUUAUUCGCUCGCUUCCAGGAGAAAAAAGGACCACCCAUUCAGUUCCAAAUAAUGACUGGACGCAUGAGAGGGCAGGCUUUCAUCACCUUUCCCAAUAAAGACAUAGCAUGGCAAGCAUUGCAUCAAAUAAAUGGAUAUAAACUUCAUGGGAAAAUAUUGGUGAUAGAGUUUGGAAAGAACAAACAGCAACAGCCAGCUGUCCAGGGUGCUUCCCUUAUAACAUCUGCUACAGAUAACAGUGCAGAAAUCAGUGGUAGCUAGAAUACAUAUCAACACACAUACAUACACAUUUGGAUAUAUGUAUGUGUAUAAACACACUCAUAUCUUUCUUUUAUCGUAAUCUAAAAUCUAGGAUAUGUAUAUACAUAGAAAUUUGUUUUUAAAAUGAAGAGGAAAUAUUAGAAAGACAGUAAUUAGGACAAUGGCUUUCCGCAUUUAAAGAGAAUUGUUAGAAAAAUUUUCCAUAAUUAAAUACUGUAUAAUCUAGAAAAUGACAAUAUAAAAUUGACACUAUCCUGAGUAUUAAAGAUAAUAAUCAUGCACUAUAUAGGACAGAAAGUACCCUGAGCAUUAAGAUCAUAGAAAACCUUUAAUUCUCAGGGUAAGUUACAUCAUUGUUCCUGAAGAUUCUUUAAUAUUUUUGCAGUCUUCAAUGUUUAGUCCUAGAGAUAAUACUUUUUCUGAGACUGUUUCCUGUAUACAAAGAUUUGAAACUAAUUCAAUGUUAAAAUAUUUAUUUACUAGAACUCAUUGUGUUUUGUCAGAACUUUGAACAGUUAUAGUAGGUAGAUUCAUGAGUUGAUCAACAUAUUUAAUGAUUGUUUACACUAAGUUUUCACAGUCCUUGAAAAGAUAUAUAUUAUAUAUAUAUAUAUAUAUAUUAUAUAUAUAUAUACAUAUAAUGCUGGCUUCUUUUAAGCCAAAAUAUUGGUAAUUUCAUGAUACUAUUGAAUUCAAAACAAUAGACAUUAAACAUGGAGUAACUGCCUAAUACAUAUUAAACUUUAGGUAUAUGAACUUUCAAGAGGGAACAAACUAGCAGAGAAUACUAAAGGGACAGGAAAGAAAGUUCUAUACUUUAGAAGAAAUGCAUCCUGCCUCAAACCCCUAGUGAUUUGUUUAUAGUUGUUGAAGAAUAGAAACACAAUAUAGUAUAGACUAGGUAGUACCAGCUUUGGAGUCAGACCUGUGAUCCUCAUAGUCACAUGUUUACCAACUUAACUUCAAAAGCCACUUAAUCUGAGCCUCAUUGAUCUCAUCUAUACAGUAGAGUAAUAUUGCUCCUUACCUCACCUAGUAAGGGUUAAAUGAGAUUAUACCAUCCAAGGGAAAAAAUGAAGGAAAUGUAGGCAACUCCAUUAAGCACAUCAAACAAUAUAUAAUAAGAAUUCCAUUUGAAAAGGGAGAAAGGUGCAUAAAUACCGCAAGACAGCCAGGUGGUGGUGCCGCACGCCUUUAAUCCCAGCACUCGGGAGGCAGAGGCAGGUGGAUCUCUGUGAGUUCAAGGCCAGCCUGGUCUACAAAGUGAGUUGCAGGACAGCCAGGACUGUUAUACAUAAAAACCCUGUCUCAAAAAAAAAAUAUAUACUGCAAGAGGACCAUGGCUUAGUGAGUAAAGACACUCACCACCAAGCAUGAAGACCUGAGUUCAAACCCUAGGACCUACAUGAGAGAAGGAGAGAAACAAUUCCAGGAACUCUUCUGAGAUACACUACUACAACAUGGAAGAACCCUGAGAAUAUGUUCAGUGAAAGAAGCCAGUCACUGCUGAAGGAAAAUUGUAGGACUCGAUGUAGAUGAAGUAUCCAGAAUUGGUCACACACACACACACACACACACACACACACACACACACACACAGAGAUAAAGGGUAGGUAGGGAUUACUAGAGUGGAUUGGAAUUCAUUGCAAGUAGAUGAAAAUGUUCAUAAAUUUUAUUAAUACUUGUAUAGCGAUGAAUAUACCAAGUGGAUGAAUUUUGUGGCAUAUGAAUCUCAGUGAAACUCACAAAAAUAGGAACUUGGACAUUAUCCAAAUGUCCAUCUGUCAACACAAAUGACUUAUGGCACAUCCAUUUAGUGGGAUACUAUGAAGCCAUUAAAACAGUGGACUCGAUCUAUGAAUAUAUUGUGACUUGUACCAAGUUUUUAUAUUAAGUUAUAAACUAAGAUGUAUGUAUGUAUGAGAUGUAUGUAUAAUAAGGAUACACUUUUAAGCAAAUAGUUCAUGUGUAUAGUUUGUAGAGAUAAUUUCAAAAUCAAUGUAGGAAAGAAAUAAGGAAUGUGUAUACCAAGCUGUAAACCUUCUGGAAGUGGGACUGUACAAGCUGAAAAGACACCUUCACCUUGUGUUGUGGUUUGGAGUGGUUUUUACCUUUUUCAAUAUUUUUUAAAUUAAAAUAAUUUUUAAAUAUUCUUACAAACACUUGGCUUUUAGAAUAUUUGUCAGAGCCACUCUGAGGAUUUCUGACUUCACUCAGGACAAACUUCUAUUCAUUUGCUAUAUUGCUCACAUGAUUAACGCUUCAAUUUUUGAUAACGUGUAAGGGAUGAGAAGUGAAGAACCCUGGUUACAGCUUCUUGCACAGUUACCCAGGGAUGUACUUCUCAGCCAGGAUUCCCAGAAGGGACUCCUUCGUUCGUCUUAGGUGGAAAACCUUACCUCCUCCUUUCUAGACCUACAGACCACAUACAAAUGGAGAAAACUAAAAUCGAGGAUACCUUUCAACUGGUGCAGAGAUACAGAAACUGGUGUAUCCAGAUGAUAAAAUUCUACUCAGCAAUAAAAACUAAGGAACCAUAUAUGCAACAACUUGAAUAAAUCUUAAAUGUGUUUUGCUAAGUAGAAGAAGCCAGACUCAAAUGGCUGCUUACUGUUAUAUUUCAUUUGUGUGUUUUCUGGAAAAGGUGAAGCAAUAAGGCAGAUACCAAGUGUUGGCACAAGGGAUUUUUUUAGUAAUGGGAACUUUAUGUUGUUUAUAGUUAAAAUGUGUAUGUGUUUGUUAAACUCAGAGAAUUAUACACCAAAAGAAUGAAUCUUAAUGUGUGAUUUUUUUUAAAAAAUAAA